CUACAUUCAGGUCUACACUCCUCCUCCUUUUACCCUUCCUUUCCUGAAGGAACCUAAUCAUAGCUAAUCCCAUUAUUUUAGCUUCAGUAUGGGUAAUCCCACCAUUCCUCCAAGUACCUGUCCUCCAGCCAAGUCUACAAUCUCUGGGAUGAGCGCCUACUGCCUACUCCUGAACAGUUAAGACGUGUGUUUUGAGCUGCAGGAUGUUUAGUUGGGUGGUGAAAGUUGUUCCUCAACCCCCGGAGAAGAAUGCAAAGCUAGAAGAGGAAGGCAAAGGCGAUACACUUCAAACAUCAGAACAAAAAGCACCAGUUAAAGAGCAAGAGGUGAAAAAAGCAGCCAAUCCUGCUAAGCCAAAAGAAGAUGAAGUCUCAGAAGAAAACAGGUGUGUGUGUGUGUGUGUGUGUGUGUGUGUG
ensembl:lncRNA